GAGAUUUGGUUGUUUGAAAGUAUGCGGCACUUCCUCCUUCACUCGAGCUCUCCUGCCAGUCAUGUUUUCUGUACAAUCUGAGAAACUAUCCUAAGCACUGGGUAUGAAGGCCAAGCAAAAAGCCUUGGUUCUGGGCAGGAUCUGCAGUCACAUUUCUAGAUUACCAGCUCAUCCAGGACUUGAGAGACCAAGACCCAGGAGAAAAGGAAACCUCAGAGAGGUCUUAAUUUUCAUCCAGACCACCUUCAGCCCACUUCUACUGACCACAAGCUUUUGGAUCCUGCCCUGGGUCUCUGAGCACAGCAGAAUACAGGAGAAUCCCUUUCUUCUGGAGACAUGAUGCCUUAUCUUCCCUCCCAAAGGACCAUCUCUGCUUCAAUUCCACUGCCAGCCACAUCCUUGCUACCACCCUCUUACUACUUCCUAUUCCAGCCAAACUGUAUUAGUUUUUAAUUUAUUUCACUCAGUUAUUCUUAUUACAGUUUAAAUAUAGAAAAUACAAAAUAUGGAUAUUUAUUUUAUUUCUUAUUAUACAAGCAUAUCCAUGUUAUCUUUGAUAUUGCUACUUGGUCCACACAGGUGGAUAAGGUACCAUAUUUACCAUCUGACCCUUUAUAGAAAAAGUUAGCUGACCCCUCGUCUAAACUAUGAAGACAGAAACAUCUGUUUUUUUCCUUAUUGUAGUCCCACAACAGGUGUAAAUGUGUCCUAAAUGAAUAUCAUUAAGUGAAUAAAUGAUGGAAAAAUUGUAUUUUCCUGUAUUGUCUAAUAACCAGAUAUAUUCUUAUUCUUUAUCUGUCACCUAUUUAUCCUAAUUUCAACUAACUUAUCUUUUCCAUGAAUCAUUCUCAACUAACUUCAAUUGGGACUGAUUUCAUGAACAGACUUCAAUCAUUUUAAC
rnacentral:lncRNA from 1 species